rnacentral:rRNA from 1 species
GUGGUAAUGCCGGAUGCUCCAGUCCAUCGCAUGGUGGUCUGGGAAAGAUUCCAUCGGUAUGGGAUGGGGUCGCGUCCUAUCAGCUUGAUGGCGGGGUAACGGCCCACCAUGGCUUCGACGGGUAGCCGGCCUGAGAGGGCGACCGGCCACAUUGGGACUGAGAUACGGCCCAGACUCCUACGGGAGGCAGCAGUGGGGAAUAUUGCACAAUGGGCGCAAGCCUGAUGCAGCGACGCCGCGUGCGGGAUGGAGGCCUUCGGGUUGUAAACCGCUUUUGAUCGGGAGCAAGCCCUUCGGGGUGAGUGUACCCUUCGAAUAAGCACCGGCUAACUACGUGCCAGCAGCCGCGGUAAUACGUAGGGUGCAAGCGUUAUCCGGAAUUAUUGGGCGUAAAGGGCUCGUAGGCGGUUCGUCGCGUCCGGUGUGAAAGCCCAUCGCUUAACGGUGGGUCUGCGCCGGGUACGGGCGGGCUGGAGUGCGGUAGGGGAGACUGGAAUUCCCGGUGUAACGGUGGAAUGUGUAGAUAU